GUCUACAGCCAUACCACCCUGAACACGCCCGAUCUCGUCUGAUCUCGGAAGCUAAGCUGGGUUGGGCCUGGUUAGUACCUGGAUGGGAGACCACCUGGGAAUACUGUAGUAUUGCUGUAGGUG
ensembl:rRNA 5S_rRNA 5S ribosomal RNA